CGGACGGGUGAGUAAUGUCUGGGAAACUGCCCGAUGGAGGGGGAUAACUACUGGAAACGGUAGCUAAUACCGCAUAACGUCGCAAGACCAAAGAGGGGGACCUUAGGGCCUCUUGCCAUCGGAUGUGCCCAGAUGGGAUUAGCUAGUAGGUGGGGUAAUGGCUCACCUAGGCGACGAUCCCUAGCUGGUCUGAGAGGAUGACCAGCCACACUGGAACUGAGACACGGCCAG
rnacentral:rRNA from 1 species